rnacentral:misc_RNA from 1 species
ACACCUCAACUCUCAUGGCUUGCCAUGAUGAGCUUGGACUUUGGGGGUCUUGCUGGCCUGCAGUCAGCUCCUCUCAAAUGAAUUAGCUUCCCAGUGUUUGGCGGCAUCACAGGUGUGAUAACUAUCUACGCUUGUGGUUCCCACCAGGUAACCUUCAGUAGAAUGGGGGUUCGCUGGAGCUCAUAAAUGUCUCUCCUCAGUGAGGACAGCUCUUUGAAC